rnacentral:tRNA from 2 species
CGGGGUGGAGCAGCCCGGUAGCUCGUCAGGCUCAUAACCUGAAGGUCGUAGGUUCAAAUCCUACCCCCGCAACCA